UCCACCUGUAUUCCCACGAGCUCAUUCUCCUCCGUGCCUCAGCAGUGGCAGGUCCUGAACCGCGGGAAGCAGAUGGCUGCCUUUUUCCCCCUUUUUUUUCGGAAGAGAGACGAACAAGAGCAGAGCAUUUUUUCCGUGCAAAAACGCUCACAAAGCACACAGAUUGCCUCCUCAAAGACAUUGCGUGCUUGCUCUUCACCCAAACAAAUGACUGUGUCAUCGGGUGUCAAAUAACGCCGACACGGAUGCACGCAUUUGUUGUGUAUUGAUGUGACGUCAUCAACGUGCUUACGGCACACACAGAAGGAAAAUAAAGAUAGAGAUGGAGAACGUUGAAUCUGGUCUGUGUGUGUGGUUUGAUCCAAAAUAACCAGUAAGGUUACAACAUUGGCGACGAGGAUGUCAUGACUCACUCGGUAGUUAAAUCUGAAAGUGAGUUAAACACGUACCUCGCCGAGUCUUUUAGUGCAGUUACCUGCAAAGUUUAGUGGCGAUAAGUGUUGCGCGCUGAAAAUGGACGGCGCUGUUCCAAAGUUCGACUGCUACAGUGAUCCAGCCACGUUGGGUCCGCGGUGGACAAGAUGGUUAAAUGCAUUUGAACUUUUUGCUGAUGGAAAGGGUUUAAUUCUGACUGACGAUGCAUCAGACGCUACAAAGCAAAGACGAAGAGCCUUAUUAUUGGAUCAUGCUGGGACGGAUGUGCAGGAUAUUUUCUCCACACUCGCUGACACAGGAGGGCCAACAGAUUACGUGCAGGCAGUAACAGCACUGAACGCAUACUUUGUGCCCCAGGUAAACACGGCAUUUGCAAGACAGACAUUUUAUCAGCUAAAGCAGAAAACGGGACAGACUGUGCAACAGUUUAAGUUUCCCUUUUUUCCACCAGGUGGUUCAGGGCUUCUUUAAUGGCCUCUUUUGCUAAAUGGAAGAGAGUUUGUAUGGGUCUGGAGCAACAUGGGGAGAGUAAAUUAUUAGCAUUUUUAUUUUUUGGUGAACAACCCUUUGAAGAGCAGCCCUCCACGUACAUUACAAUUUGUGAGACUUCUUUAACUGCCAUCUCUACUUCCCACUAAAUGCGACAGCAUCACUAAGCAUCCAUGACAUCCAUGACAUUCCCUGCAGCGCUGUGCCAGGCCUGAUGAUCAAGGAGGCUCCCACAGAAGCCUGUGAUCUCAGCCACCGAAUACCGGAAAAUGAAGCCGGAUGGCUGGUGCUGGUGAGUGUUUAGCAAACACUGUAAUUGAGCACUGCAAAGGAAACUCACAGAGUUUAUUAGUAGACACGAAACCACCAGCAAUUUAAUACACAUAAAUAUAUACAGAGAGGGUUACAUACUCACCCACCCUCCUGCACUGGAGCCCAACUCAAGGGGCGCUUUCUUUUAGCCCGGACCAUCAGUAAGGUGGUUGCUAUGAACAUAAAACCAGCCAAAAACAUUACACGUCCAGAAUAGGAGACUGUUAUGCGAGAGGUUUCCACCUAACCUCGAUCAGGUGGAGAGCUGGUGGUUACAGGGGAAUUAGGAAGGGGAGGAUAAAAGCAGAAGUUAAAAAUCCCUGAAGGGAAUGAGUAGAUUCCUUGGUAUCACUUUUUCGCUGCCUCGUCUGGAUCACAUCCCUUAGGUUCUGUUUAUUUCCUCGUGACCGCCGAUUCCUCUUACCCCUGCCCGCAGGUGGGGGAGGAGCGCGAGUCGUGACACUAGCCUUCAUCUCCCUGAACUUCUCGAUCACCAUCUCAACGGAAAUACUGAUAAGUUCAGAAGGCGAAACCUGAGUAUCGAGAAGAAAGCCUUUUCUUUCUUCCCGAUGUCUGCCAGGUUCAUCCACAGACGUCUCUUCGCUGCCACCUGCUUGGUAGCAUGGAGAGAGGUCCGUGGUGCGGCACGGCUCAGCUACCUGAUCAGGAGAAAGGCCCUUGCCUCCAUCCAGGUCUCUUAGAAGAUCAGCCUGAUAUGCUUGAAGCUGAUAUGCUUGAUGGUGUCGUGUGUAAUAAAGCCACAGCCUGACCUGCUGCUGCGUAUGCCACGCCAUUUCAGCCAGAUUAAUUUUUGAAGGGGCUUAGAUGGCAAGGAGGGAGCUUAAGAGAGGAUGUCUCCCCUGCAGAGAGAUUUUUUUUUUUUAACCUCUUUCUACAGGGGGCAUCCUCUCAUAGCCGCAUUCGCGCAUCACCUCAACGAUUUCUAGAUUUCUUUUUGAUAUUUAUAUGGAGAUCAUGCAGAAAUGGAAGGCUCACAUGAGCUAGAGGGCUAUGGUCAGAAAGAUAAUGCUCAUUUUUAAAAUGGCUUUACAUCGUCACCUUGUUAGCGCAUCUUCAUGGCUAGUCCAACUUUGCCGUGGCGCGAUCCAUAACCUCUAACAGCUCUACAUACGCAGGGCAGGAGAAUUGAGAAGGCUCAGCCUCAGCUUCUUCACCAUCCUCAAAUAUCUCCUGCUUUUCCUGGGUAAAAACCUAGCAGGGCACUAACCUCAGUAUCAGAAAGUGUUAAAGAUUUAACAUCAUCCUCCCGAGGCUCUCUCUCGUCCGCCGCCAUUACGAGCGUGAAAGGGAAAAUCCCUCUUUAAAACAUUCAAACAGAUCCACCUGUAUUCCCACGAGCUCAUUCUCCUCCGUGCCUCAGCAGCGGCAGGUCCUGAACCGCGGGAAGCAGAUGGCUGCCUUUUUCCCCCUUUUUUUUCGGAAGAGAGACGAACAAGAGCAGAGCAUUUUUUUCGGUGAAUGCACACAGAUUGCCUCCUCAAAGACAUCGCGUGCUUCAGUGGCGGCAAAUAUUUGCUUGAUUAAUGAGGAUAGUUCACCCAUUCAGUUGAUAAAUUAACAGCUAGUUAAAGAUGUAAAGGGAACUAAACUAUAGUAUUAAUUAAAAAUAAACUGACAUUAGGAAUCAAUCUCUUGCUCUCCUUAUGUU